CCUACGGGAGGCAGCAGUGGGGAAUCUUGCGCAAUGGGCGAAAGCCUGACGCAGCAACGCCGCGUGCGGGAAGAAGGCUCUCGGGUUGUAAACCGCUUUCAGCAGGAACGAAAAUGACGGUACUUGCAGAAGAAGGUGCGGCCAACUACGUGCCAGCAGCCGCGGUGACACGUAGGCACCAAGCGUUGUCCGGAUUUAUUGGGCGUAAAGAGCUCGUAGGCGGUUCGGUAAGUCAGGUGUGAAAACUUUGGGCUCAACCCAAAGCCUGCAUCUGAUACUGCUGUGACUAGAGUUCGGUAGGGGAGCGGGGAAUUCCUAGUGUAGCGGUGAAAUGCGCAGAUAUUAGGAGGAACACCGGUGGCGAAGGCGCCGCUCUGGGCCGAAACUGACGCUGAGGAGCGAAAGCGUGGGUAGCAAACAGGAUUAGAUACCCUGGUAGUCCACGCCGUAAACGUUGGGCACUAGGUGUGGGUCUCAACCAACGAGAUCCGCGCCGUCGCUAACGCAUUAAGUGCCCCGCCUGGGGAGGUACGGCCGCGAAGUAAACGUUAAAGUAAGUAGACGGCGUGAGACGCGAGACGACGACGAGGGAGAGG
rnacentral:rRNA from 1 species